GGGGAAGGCGGAGGAGUGGCAGCGAGCGGUAGGAGGGAGGGACGUGCAGGCUUUUGUCGCGCUGCCUCCUCUCGCAGCUCCCGCCCCAGCCCGCGGCCCGCCGCGGUGAAGUCAGGCCUGGCCAAACUGGGCGUAGCUCUCACCCCCUCCCACUGGUAUGUCCUCUCAGCCACGUCCGCGCACUCCGCUGCCGCCGAUUCCAGCCUCGGCCCAGCCACCUUUCUCACUCCCCGGGCCCCAUUCAACCACCGUCGACGCUCUUGCUCUCCUCGCACUGGUCUCUGCAAAGGCCUUCCACUGUCAGGCUGGUCCAUCCACCUAAGGGACGUACGGAUCAGACACCCCUCGUCACCUUGAAGACACCGGCCCAGGUUCCAUUCCGUGUCCCUUGCAGAAGCUGCAGGGAACUGGAGGGUAGUGUGGAGACACCUGCAGAGUUGCUGGACAGUCUCACUUCUACAGUCCUCUGUCCGCCUAGCCUCAAGGCCGAGGCUGCCUGCGUGGCCUCGUGUCUGGUUGCCUGCUCCUGGCGCCUGUGCUGCCAAGCAUCGACCCGGAACCGGAGCGUUUUUUGGUUUGGAGCUGUUCCCAGGAGGCCCCUAGAUGACGCGGCUUCUGUCCCAAGUACCGAGAGAAGAUUCCAGGCUAUGUGUUAGGAACUUCGUGCCUAUUAACGUCUGGAACGCGUCAGUGAGUGAUUUGCUUAAAAAAAAAUCCCAGCCACCCUGACCCCAAAAGAGUUUUCUUUCCUUUUGUUAAGUUGAAUGCGUCUUUGAAUUUGGGGAAGGCUCCCGACAGAAGAGUUGUCUCUGACUUUGCUAGAGUCUCACUGUCACUUCUUGAAGGGACGUGGGCCAGCCCGUGAGGUGGGGCGCAUAGGCUUCACAAGUGGCUAAGCCUGCUAGGUGGUGCACGCGGACUCUGCCGGCUGUGGUGCCAGCCUGAGCUCAGAUUUUUUGCCAUUUCAUCCUUGGUGGGUUCUGAAGCUAGAAGAGGUCGGCAGAAGUCUCCAGCGUGAGAGUGCCCGGCUUCUGCGUGGAUCUGGGCUGUGGCACUCGGCUCUGGUCGGGAUCCAUUGCACCCAAUGAAUGCAGUAGGCAGCCAGGCUGCGUUUUGUCCCCCCCCCCCCGCCCCGGGUUCCAGGAAACCAGGAGUCAAUUGCGGUGAUGGAUUGAGGAUUAUUUUUCCCAGGCUGGCUGGCAGGCAGGCAGGCAGGCAAGUGUGUCUAUCCCUUUUGGUAUGUUCUUUCCAUGCGCUCCACCUUCACCAGCCCUUUAAACAUUGCCACUACUAUACUAAUACAUCCUCCCUGCUCACGGCUCUUCUCACUCUCCCCUACAAACCUUUUCAAGACCCUUUUGCCAGUCGCACCAUGAAAGUAUCAGUGCAUCAGCAAAGCCAGCUUCCCAAAGACCCAGAGCUAGGCCAUAAGGUAUUGCACAGCAUCUACAGCAACGACCCCAGGUCUACCUAAUUCAGGGGAGAAACAGAAAGGAAAACGAGGGAAGAAGCGAGAGA
rnacentral:lncRNA from 1 species